rnacentral:rRNA from 1 species
UAACCUGCCCAAGAGAUCGGGAUAACACCUGGAAACAGAUGCUAAUACCGGAUAACAACAGAUGAUGCCUAUCAACUGUUUAAAAGAUGGUUCUGCUAUCACUCUUGGAUGGACCUGCGGUGCAUUAGCUAGUUUGUAGGGUAACGGCCUACCAAGGCUAUGAUGCAUAGCCGAGUUGAGAGACUGAUCGGCCACAUUGGGACUGAGACACGGCCCAAACUCCUACGGGAGGCAGCAGUU